rnacentral:rRNA from 1 species
UACGUAGGAGACAAGCGUUGUCCGGAAUUACUGGGUGUAAAGCGCGUGUAGGCGGUAGGCCAAGUCUGCUGUGAAAUCGCCCGGCUCAACUGGGCGCGGUCGGUGGAAACUGGUCAACUGGAGGACGGUAGAGGCGAGUGGAAUUCCCGGUGUAGUGGUGAAAUGCGUAGAGAUCGGGAGGAACACCAGUGGCGAGGGCGGCUCGCUGGGCCGGUCCUGACGCUGAGACGCGAAGGCGUGGGGAGCGAACGGG